AGGAAGUGCAUCUGCUCACUUGGGCCUAGUAUUUCAGUGUGUGAGUUUACUUUAUACCUUCCACAUCCCAUACCUAGUGGCCAUCUACACGGUAGUGGAAUCAAAUAUCCCCAUGUGGGAAGAUUUAUUUGUUUCCUCAAAGGAUACAGGAACCAAAAGGGAUCCAGUGGGGAAGAAAAGAGACUAGCUGCUAUCCUUCACGGAGCCAACAUUCUGCUGGGAGAGGCAAGAAAAAAUCCACAAAUGAAUAGAAAAAUAAAUAAGUAUAAUAAAAGUUCAGAGAGCGAUAAGACCUAUGUAGAAAAAAUGUUAUAAGGGCACAAUUACUGAGUGACAGAUGGAGUAGAAGAUGCUAGAUUAGAAAGGAAAGGCCUUCCGGAGGAAUUGGCAUUUGAGCUGAAAUAUGAAUGAAGUAAGAAAGUGAGCCAUCCAAAAACCUGGGGAAGAGUGUUCCAGACAGAGAGAAGAGAAAGUAGAAAGGCCUGAGGCAGGAGUGGGCUUGGCUUGCUCACAGAAAGCAUGAAGGUCAGUGAACAUGGUUCGAGCAAUAUGCGUGAGGAGGAGAGUGGGGUGACAUGAGCAAUAAGGAAUUAAGAAUGGGUCAAUGAAAUAUACAGCUCCUUUCUGGAAUGUACCUGUUCUGCUACAACCAUGGAUAUCCUGACCUUUCUGUGCCUUUCAGGGACAAGGGUAAUAGAGGAGUUUCAGACUCCCUCUAAAACAAAACAACAACUGAACAAUAAACAACAGAAAAAGAACACAAAAAAAGACGGUGGUACUCUUUCCCCUUUCCUUGCUUUCUCCUGCUACCAAAACAAACAACAAAAACUACAUUGUCUCAUUGGAUGACGAAGCUAAAAUUUUGUAGCAAAUCUAUAGAAGAAAAGAAGUGGAAAUCUACUCAAGAGCUACUGUAAAACACUGUAUACAAAACAACCACUUUGAUUCACAUUAAAAAGUGUUAUCUGUUUCUUUGAAUUCAUAAGCUAGAUAUUAAUCCAUCUUUAGAAGAGAAGAAAGCAAAGAUCGUAGAUGACAAGUCUUGCUUUCUUGUAAGUAUCUUUGAAUCUGUAUGUUUGCCAUCACAAGUUCUCAGAUCAAUUAACUAUUGUUUACUUCCAAAAAAAAUCUGGCAUGGCUUAUGAAGAUGUAUAUAUAUAACAACAUCAGUAUGAAUGGGAUAAUACAACAAGACCAAGGGAAACUAAACUUGUGUAAUUAUUGAAGGUAGUAAGCAUCUAACAGACAUUUUGUCUGUUGUAGUUUAGAUUUAAAUUUGCCACUGAAAUCAGCCUCUUCUUGGGGAUUUCCUGCUUGUACUGAUGAGCCAAUACCCCUCCCUUUAUACUCAUUUUCACAGAAAUUCUUUGCUAAUUCAUUGCCUAGCUCGCUCUGUAACAUUCAUAACCAUCUUCAACACCACCUCCAGACUGACUGCAGUUUGACAUAAAAAAUGGCCUUAGAAAAGGCUCUGGCUGGGAAAUUUCAUUCCAGCAUGGCAGAAAUGUAAAGAGUCUGUUGUGAUAUAAGUACUAUUUAUCAGGCUCCUAUAAAUCUCCUUAGCAUAGUCAGCAGAGUCCAAGAUACAAACUUCCUAGCAAGUCUGCAGGUAAAUUCAGAUAAAGCAAUCACAACUUGGCCUGGGGAGUGGAUUCAUGCUCUCUAGAAUAAGAGUUGCAUGGUGUGCAAAAAGAUUCUGCAAAAAGAGUCAAAA
rnacentral:lncRNA from 1 species